rnacentral:rRNA from 1 species
GACGAACGCUGGCGGCGUGCUUAACACAUGCAAGUCGAGCGGAAAGGCCCUUCGGGGUACUCGAGCGGCGAACGGGUGAGUAACACGUGAGUAACCUGCCCCUGACUCUGGGAUAAGCCUGGGAAACUGGGUCUAAUACCGGAUAUGACACCUUCCCGCAUGGGGUGGGUGUGGAAAGUUUUUUCGGGUGGGGAUGGGCUCGCGGCCUAUCAGCUUGUUGGUGGGGUAGUGGCCUACCAAGGCGACGACGGGUAGCCGGCCUGAGAGGGCGACCGGCCACACUGGGACUGAGACACGGCCCAGACUCCUACGGGAGGCAGCAGUGGGGAAUAUUGCGCAAUGGGCGGAAGCCUGACGCAGCGACGCCGCGUGGGGGAUGACGGCCUUCGGGUUGUAAACCUCUUUCAGCAGGGACGAAGUUGACGUGUACCUGUAGAAGAAGCGCCGGCUAACUACGUGCCAGCAGCCGCAGUAA